AUGCAGUUUAUGUUGCUUUUUAGUCGUCAGGGGAAACUGAGACUUCAAAAGUGGUAUGUUCCAUUAUCUGACAAAGAAAAGAAGAAAAUCACAAGGGAACUUGUUCAAACAGUAUUAGCCCGCAAACCGAAAAUGUGCAGCUUCCUGGAGUGGAGAGACCUGAAGAUUGUCUACAAAAGAUAUGCAAGCCUUUAUUUCUGCUGUGCUAUUGAAGAUCAGGACAAUGAACUAAUAACUCUGGAAAUAAUUCAUCGCUACGUGGAACUUCUUGACAAGUAUUUUGGCAGUGUAUGUGAACUUGAUAUCAUCUUCAAUUUUGAAAAAGCCUAUUUCAUUCUGGAUGAGUUCCUUUUGGGAGGGGAAGUUCAGGAGACUUCCAAGAAAAAUGUUCUCAAAGCUAUUGAACAGGCAGAUCUUUUACAGGAGAGCCAGAAUGAAGACUGGGGAGGUUUGUCUGAGGAUAUCUUAUGAUUAAGAGCAAUCUAAGGCAUUAGCCCUUUUGACCCCCAUCUAAAUGAUUGGAUGCUAAAGAAGCAGAGACCCCACGUAGUGUACUUGAAGAAAUUGGAUUGACAUAGAUCUUCUCGUCAGCUGAUGGCAUCUCAGUGUUUCAUACUGUAAAUGUUCACUGCCUUCAUUGUAAUGUUUAGCUAAUGGUGUAAGAUGCUGUUUGUCAGUAUUACUGUUUUGCUAAGCUGCUUCAUUCAGGCCUACAAGAAAAAUAGUCCUUCAAAAAGGGAACAAAUUUAAGUCCAAAAAUCAUAAAUGAAAGGGAAUUAAAUUAAACAUCUCUUUUCACUGCAUUUAUAGGAUAAUUGCAUUUGACUUCAGUAAGUGUACUGUUUUUUAUAAGCAUACAACUUCAGGAACUAAAUGCAUCGUUAUGACAGCAUAUCUAAAUGAAGAGAUUACAUGGAUAACAUUAAAUUUUAAAAUGUUACAGUGUAGAACUUGUUUAUGCAACCAAAGACUUCUGUUCAUCUACAUUUUAAGUCAACACUUGUGACAAUUCUGCUUUAUUUCAGUUGAUAUAUAAAGAUUGGAAAUAACUGUUUACUACUGAAUUUGCCAUUAUACCAAAGAAUCCUGUUAGGAUCUGCUUGUCAAACUGGUAAAAACUGUUAAGGUGACAUCGCUUUUAGCAAGAAAACUGUAAACUGAUCGUUCAUGAGGAAUUAAAGCGUAUUUCAGUGUAAUCAUCUUUAGUAACUUCCACAGUUUUACUCUAUGAGGAAGGGGAGGCAUCCAUUUAAAAAAUAGUACCCUUCCACAUAAGGAAAUCUUUUUUAGAUCUGAUAUUAGCUUACUCUGAACAUAAACAGAAAAAGGGAACUAGCCUUUCUAACUGAACAGAGAGGUGCCAAAUGAAAAUGGAAUAAUUUUGAGAAUGGAAAAGAGGGAGCCUUACAAAAGGGACUUCUCAUGCUUUUAUUUCAGACUCUAGAAGUUAAUUUGUAUUUAUUGCUGUUUUAUAGUUAUGCUUUAAUGGGUGUAUGAGCACCUUUUAAAAAAAAAAACAAAACACUGAGUGAUCAGCUUCAUUUUGACUACUCUUCAUGGCUUACUUCAUUACUUACACCUUGUCCACAGGUGAUAUAUCCCUUAUGAAACUACCACUUGGUGUACAGCACAACCAACGAAUUCAUACUGAGAACUUUUAACAAUUAGUCUUGUAUACUAGAGUCUUAAACUGCAAAUUGGGUAAAGAAGUAUUAAGUUAUAUUUUGAUACCUCGAGAGGCUUUCAGUGUAUAAUUAGUGAAAGUUUUUCACUUAAGGAAAUUUCAGUAAUGUAUGCUUUUGAGUUUUGAGAAGGCAGUGCCACGCUUUGGGGUAGUAAAGUUCUACUGUGUGUACCUGUGGUCCCCUACAAUGUGAGGGUAUGCUUCCCUCUCUUCCUCUCCCUUCUCCCAAUAAUUUCACUGUAGAAGUCAAUGUUUUGGCUUGUUCACUGUAGUAUAUAGUGUAACAGAUGUAGGUCAUAUUUUCACAAAACUUAACUUUGGCAUUGUUGCUGGAAGCAGUCAUGCCCUGCUAGCACAAGCCUAUUUAUGCAGCCAUGUGGCGUGCUAGACUGUAAAUUUGACCUAGGUUAAAAUUAACCCAGCAGAGAAGGGUUAAUGUUGACACUUAGCAGUUUCCUGAUCCAGAUCACAGUAUAAAUGCUUGUGGCAGCAGAAGGGACAAGGCAGAGGCCAGGCUGUGGGGGCCUGAGCCUGACUGGGGUGAUAUUUGUCAGAGCCAGUGCCAGGGCAGGGCCUAUAAACUUGCAGUUUUACAAUUUUCAUGUCUGGCCAUGCCAUUCCUGGGAUUUAAACCUACCCGAUUGCUAGAGAUCAUGUUUAACCUAAGGUACAAAAAAAAAAAAAAAAAAAAAGCAGUGUUUUGCAUUUCUUCAAUGUACUGUGUACAGGGAUAGGUGAGGUUCAAGUGGUAUUAGAAUGACCCUAUGUGUGAUAUUAAAAUGGUUAAAUUACCUUAAUUUAAGUAAAACCUGAACCAAUUUUUAUAUGUUAAACAUGUUUUUAAAGUUUACAUGUCACUUGUAUGUGCUUGGCUGGAUUAAGCUUUGUUGUGAUUGUGACAAGCUGUUUGACCUCUGUCUUACUGUCACAUUAGUUUAGUCAUAAUAAAUGUCCAUUUUUACACCAUUGCUUUGUGUUUAUAUGCAAUUAACUGAUUUUUUUUUUGCAGAGGAAAGAAAAGGCUACUCAGUGCUAGCUUUAAAAAAAGAGGGAAAUUUUAUUAGUGCUUAACUUGCUCUUGAGCACUUCUUUAUUAAAAAACUGUGUGAUUA